UGGAAGGACCGGGAGGGGCGGGGCGGCUGUGAGCGCGAUGAGGAGGCGGGGCCGGGAGUGAGGGCCGUGAGGGGUGGGGUCUAGUGAGCGCGGCGGGGAGGGGCCGGAGUCGGGGCAAAGGAGCUGAAAGAGCGGGAAAGAGAAAUAAAGCCGGGGGGCGGGGACUGGGGAGCCCCGGGAAGUGUCUGAUUGGUUUAAGGGCGGGGCGACGGGACUGAAUGAGAACCAGGAAGGGGCGGAGCCGAGAAUGAGCGCGCUGAGGGGCAGGGCCAGGUGAGAUCAGAGAGGAGGAGGGACCUGGAGAGGUGCGGGGAUGGGCAAGACCGAGGUGUGGGGGCGGAGCCCGGGAAGGAAGCUACGAAGGGGCGGAGCCUGGACUGAGCACAUUGUAGGGGUGGGGCCAGGAGUGAUCAGAUGGGCAGGGGCCUGGAGCAUCUAGUCGGGGGCGGGGCCUAGAGGCACUUAGAUCAGGGGGUAUGUCGGAGAACCACACUGAAGGGGCAGGGCUGGAUAAGGAAGGGAGUGGGGCCGGGAGCUGCGGGGUGAGAGUCGAGCCCUGGAGCGGCAGUUUGAAAAGACGGAGCUUCGACUGACCUCCAUCAGGGGAUGGAACCAGGCCGAGAGAGAAGACCGGGCCUAGAAUGACCCAGGUGGCUCAUCACGGUCACGGACUUCCAGACUCGCUCGCGCCUGCUGCGCUCGGGGCUCCGCCUCCGCGGGCUCGCGCACCCGCUCUUGCGCCACGACGAGCUGCUGCUGGGCGACUACCGCCUGCACCUGCGCCGCUCCAUGGUCCGACGGCGCAUGCUCGAGGCUCUGGGGGCGGAGCCGACCGAGGAAGAUUGACGCGUGGGGCCGGGCCCCGGCUGCGCUUGCGCACCGUCCAGCGGGCUCCGGCUCCCCUCCCAGAAAACCCCGGAGGGAAGGGGGCGUUGCCUCCCCAGGAAGGAGGCGGGACCGGCUCGAGGGGGUGGAUACUGUGAGUUUAAUUAUAAAGAAUGACCUGGUACAAAAGCCAUUUCUCUCUGCAAAAUCUUGGUGGGGACUCAGGGGGAGGGAGGUGAUGGGGGGUAGGGACGAACCCCCAUAAUAUAAUCCCGCCUCCCUAAUUUUCCCCCAGUUCCUGCAAGUAGACGCCUGGGUCCCAAUCCCUUGAGGGAUGAACUAAGGCCCGCGAGAGGGAAGCCCCGGUCUCUGGGACUUUCAACGCGUGCCGAUCCCGGUCUCAGCGAGAACCGCACGUCCUCCUCCGCCCCCCUCCUCUUCCUCCUCCCACCCCCCUUGGAAGACAAUUCUCGGGCUUUUAUUUCAGGUUUUUUUCUGGAUUUUUUUUUGUGUGUGUUCUAGGGUUCUUUUUUUUUUGUAUUUUUUUGUUAUUGUUCCUCUUUUUGCUUUGUCUCUCCUCUCCGCCCCGCGCUGCCCCCCAUCCAGUCCCUUCCCCCUCCCCACCCAACGGCUCCUCCCCCCUCCCCACCCCCUACACCCUCCCCAACCCCGCGGCACCCAUCCAGAAUGAACAAGCCCUUUAUAGACAGGCGCCGCGCAGGCCCCCUGCGGACGGGGGGCAUCCGACAAGGGGGAGGGGGCGGGUAGGGGCCCAGCUCGACCUCCGCCCCCCUCCUCGCCACCCCUCCCCCCUCCCACACCCUCCCACAAGGUUCCCCGCAGAUCCCUGACGUGGUGAGGGGAGAGGGCUGCAAGCGCCCUCCCCCCAUGGACGGAGCGCCCCCCCUCGAGGGUAGGGGGCAGCAGAGGGGGAAUGGGCUUGGGGGAAGGAGGGGGAGCUCCCUUCUUUGGCAGCUGAACAUGGGGGGGACCUGAGGGCGAUGCCCUCCCCCCUUUACCCACAGUAGGGGAGGGGGCUCCGCAGGGGGAAGGGGUGGCUUAAAAUUCCCAAGCCCCAGGAAUAAAGGAGGGGUGGGGGGGGGCGGGCGCGGUUGA
rnacentral:lncRNA from 1 species